GGAAUGUCGGCAGAGGGAAGAAAAUGAGGAGGUAUGCCUCAAUUAUCAGAGUCAGCUGUUACUGAACUGGUAAUUGAAACAUCCUUGCCAUUUGGUAGAACCCAGUGUGAGUACUACUCGCUGAGAAGGCAGAACUAUAAUCGUCAAACCUGCAUUUCUUCUGGUGUACCGAACGACAGAGUUAAAACCCUGUUUGAACUAGAUUUGUAUCUUCUCAAGUUCUCCAUGUGAGGUGGAUUGGGUUCCCUGGAUAACACAGAUGUUCGAGAAGGAAGAUCCUAAUUCCCUCCAGCUUGGCAGCCAUGACUCUCUAGCCUUGCAGGUAGCUGAGCUCGAACUCCACAAUGAAAAACAACUCCUGCAAGAUGAAGAACUGGCUUGGAGGCUUCAAGGUGAGGAGGAGUCUCACAUGGGACUCCACACUACGGGAAGCUUCCGAUAUUUUUGGCAGAGAAUAAGACGGAAUCGGGAGCGUAGUGACGACGGAAUCGGGAGCGUAGUGACGAUUAUCGAGCUGUACAGGUGGCUCAGGAUGAGUUCAAAUGAAUGGUUUCCUCUGCAGUCGAUUGCCAGAUAUUUGCAAGGUCAAGAGUUGAAGUCCCAUGAAAGACAGAUCCAAGAAACAGACCGUGGGACUGAAGAGAGCAUCGAAAAUAGCUUUUUCUCUGAGAUGAGGCAAAGCAAAAACAGAGAGGUUGGUUAA
rnacentral:lncRNA from 1 species